rnacentral:rRNA from 1 species
UACAGAGGGUGCAAGCGUUAAUCGGAAUUACUGGGCGUAAAGCGUGCGCAGGCGGUUUUGUAAGCCAGAUGUGAAAUCCCCGGGCUCAACCUGGGAAUGGCAUUUGGGACUGCAAGGCUGGAGUGCGGCAGAGGAGACUGGAAUUCCUGGUGUAGCAGUGAAAUGCGUAGAUAUCAGGAGGAAUACCGAUGGCGAAGGCAGGUCUCUGGGCUGACACUGACGCUCAUGCACGAAAGCGUGGGGAGCAAACAGG